rnacentral:rRNA from 1 species
GACGAACGCUGGCGGCGUGCUUAACACAUGCAAGUCGAACGGAAAGGCCCUGCUUUUGUGGUGUGCUCGAGUGGCGAACGGGUGAGUAACACGUGAGUAACCUGCCCUUGACUUUGGUAUAACUUCAGGAAACUGGGGCUACUACCGUAUAGGAUCUCCUGCUGCAUGGUGGGGGUUGGAAAUUUUCGGCUGUUGGGGAUGGACUCGCGGCUUAUCAGCUUGUUGGUGGGGUAGUGGCUUACCAAGGCUUUGACGGGUAGCCGGCCUGAGAGGGUGACCGGCGACAAUGGGACUGAGAGACGGCCCAGACUGCUACGGGAGGCAGAAGGGGGGAAUAUUGCACAAUGGGCGGAAGCCUGAGGCAGAAACGCCGGGGGCGGGAUGACGGCCUGCGGGGUGUAAACCGCUUUCGCCUGUGACGAAGCGUGAGUGACGGUAAUGGGUAAAGAAGCACCGGCUAACUACGUG